rnacentral:tRNA from 1 species
GCGGGCGUGGCGAAAUCCGGUAGACGCGCCAGACUCAAAAUCUGGUUCCCUCGAGGAGUGUGGGUUCGAGUCCCACCGCCCGCACCA